CCUGAAGUUAUUUUUGACCUUGCCCAAGGGCCCUAAGUGAUUUUCCGGUGUGGCUUGGUUUUGAACGGAGGAUCCUCUGGUCUGAAACCCAACAUUUAACCACUAGACCAUCAC